AUGGCAAGUCUCAAGCAUCAGCUGAUUCAUAAUCUUCUAAGGGAAGAACAGAUCCCCCAGAACAAGAUUACAGUUGUUGAGGUUGGUGCUGUUGGAAUGUCCUGUGCCAUCAGUAUCUUAAUGAAGGACUUGGCAGACAAACUUGCUCUUGUUGGUGUCACGGAAGACAAAUUGAAGGAAGAGAUGAUAGAUCUCCAACAUGGCAGCCUUUUCCUUAGAACACCAAAGAUUGUCUCUGGGAAAGACUAUAAUGUAACUGCAAACUCUAAGCUGGUCAUUAUCAUGGCUGGGACACAUCAACAAGAGGGAGAAAGCCAUAUUAAUUUGGUCCAGUGUAAUGUGAACAUCUUUAACGUUGUAAAAUACAGCUCAAACUGCAAGUUGCUUAUUGUUGCAAAUCCAGUGAAUAUCUUGACCUGGGUGGCUUGGAAGAUAAGUGUCUUUCCCAAAAACCAUAUUAUUGGAAGUGGUUGCAAUCUAGAUUCAGCCCAGAGUUCACCCAUUAAGCUGUCAUGGGUGGGUCCUCAGGGAACAUGGAGAUUCCAGUGUGCCUAUAUGGAGUGGAGUGAAUGUUGCUGGUAUCUCCUGAAGACUCUAUAUCCAGAUUUAGGGACACACACAGAUAAGGAACAGUGGAAAGCGUGCCAAUACACUUUGGGAGAUCCGAAAAGAGCUGCAAUUUUAAAGUCUUCUGAUGUCAUACCAUUUUACUGUCAAGGCUACAACAGGAUUUUAGCUGGAGGUUGUGCGUGUUGUCCUUUUUAUCUGAUCUGUGAUUAAAGCAAUCAUAUUUUACGAUGGACUGGGAAAAACAUCAAUUCCUGAAGUUAAAAAUAGGAAUGGUUUGUAAAAUCCUACAGCUACAUCCUGAAGCUGGAUGGUACUAAUCUUGUGUAGUCCUACACUGGUUAUCUCUGAGGCACCAUUGACAAUGCUGCAUAUGCUGCAGUUGCCCCUUGAGCCAGAUGGAUGUUUACUGUGUGUUAUAUAACUUCCUGGCUCCUUCACUGAACAUACCUAGUCCAAUAUUUUUUCCCAGUCAGUCACAUCCUAGGAUCUAGUGUAUAAAUGCAGUAUUGCAUGUUUUCUGCAUAAUUGUUCCAAAGGAUCUUGUUUUGUGAACUAUAUGUAUCAGUAGUGUACAUUACCAUAUAAUGUAAAAAGAUCUACAUAUAAACAAUGCAACCAACUAUCCAAGUGCUACACCAACUAAAACCCCCAAUAAACCUUGAAGAGUGAAAAAAAAA